rnacentral:rRNA from 1 species
UACGAAGGGGGCUAGCGUUGCUCGGAAUCACUGGGCGUAAAGGGUGCGUAGGCGGGUCUUUAAGUCAGGGGUGAAAUCCUGGAGCUCAACUCCAGAACUGCCUUUGAUACUGAAGAUCUUGAGUUCGGGAGAGGUGAGUGGAACUGCGAGUGUAGAGGUGAAAUUCGUAGAUAUUCGCAAGAACACCAGUGGCGAAGGCGGCUACCUGGACCGAUAUUGACGCUGAGACGCGAAAGCGUGGGGAGCAAACAGG